UGUGUGCGGGGAGGGAGCAGACCGUGCUGCGGCGGCGCGGGGAAAGAACGGGGGAAAGCAAAACACCCCCCGUACCCCGAGCCGAGGGCAGCGGUGGGGUGGAGGUGACACCGGGAGCGAGCGGCGCGGGAGCGCGCACGGGUGGAACGGAGGGAAGGGGGGGGGAGGGCGGCGGCGCCCCGCGCAUGCGCCGCCGGGGCCGUUCCCGCCGCCCCUUUCCCGCCAUCGCACCUGAGGCGCGCGGGGCGCAGCCAAUAACGCUGAACUGCCCCUGCGGUUCGGCCAUUGCACCCCGAGCAAGGCGAGAAGGGCACACCUGGGACAGGUACCUGGUGCCAGGUAUGGGCACCCUGAGCAAUGCAAGAAGGGCACACCUGGGACAGGUACCUGGUGCCAGGUAUGGGCACCCCGAGCAGUGCGAGAAGGGCACACCUGGGACAGGUACCUGGUGCCAGGUAUGGGCACCCCGAGCAUCGCAGGCCAUGCGAGAAGGGCACACCUGUGACAGGUACCUGGUGCCAGCUGCGGGCACCCCGAGCAUCGCGGGCUGUGGGACAAGGGGCACACCUGGGACAGGUACCUGGUGCCAGGUAUGGGCACCCUGAGCAGCACGGGCCAUACGAGAAGGGCACACCUGUGACAGGUACCUGGUGCCAGGUGUGGACACCCCGAGCAAUGCGAGAAGGGCACACCUGUGACAGGUACCUGGUGCCAGCUAUGGGCACCCCGAGCAGUGCGAGAAGGGCACACCUGUGACAGGUACCUGGUGCCAGGUGUGGACACCCCGAGCAUUGCAGGCUGUGGGACAAGGGACACACCUGAGACAGGUACCUGGUGCCAGCUGCGGGCACCCCGAGCAAGGCGAGAAGGGCACACCUGGGACAGGUACCUGGUGUGGACACCCCGAGCAUCGCGGGCCGUGCAGAAGGGGCACACCUGUGACAGGUAGCUGGUGCCAGGUAUGGACACCCCGAGCAGUGCGAGAAGGGCACACCUGUGACAGGUACCUGGUGCCAGGUGUGGGCACCCCGAGCAUCACGGGCCGUGCAGAAGGGGCAGCACUCCACAAUCUCCGGGUUGGUUUUUGCUUCCUCAUCUCCAAGUGGCAGCGGGCUCUGGGUUUGAGAUUCUGCCAAAACACCAAAUUCCAGAGGGUUUGACUCUGGGGGGUUUUUUUGUUCCUUGGAAGCUGAAUGCGAUUUCUCCUUCCCCAGAAGAGAGAGAAGAGCCCUCGGUGCUGCUCAAGGAUGCCGGGAAGGGAAACUGAGGCACGGGCGGUGCUGGCACCUCUGCAGCCCAGCCAGGCUCCGGGUUAUCCUCCAGAUCCGCUGCUCAGGAUGCCCUGGAGCGACGGGAGAGAAAGCAAAGAAGGGGAACAAAGGGAUUUUCCUGCUGGGUUCUGCCGCAGGAAGCCCUGGGAGCUCCAGCAGAGGAAAUUCCUGUUCCCUUUCCCAGCCAAAGGCACAAUUAAAGAUUAAUUGCCUCCAAGCAGCAGAGCCGGCAGCCAGCAGCGUCUCCUGGUGCUGGGGCUGCUCCUCCUCUUUGGGGUCUGGGGAACACGAGUGCACCAUCAGAGCCAUGUACAAAAAACACCAAAAAAUUAAACUCCCCUUUGCUUA